UUUGUGAAUUCUUUUUGUUCAUAGGUCAAAUUUGUCGUGUUUGCCCCCCUCCCCACCUCGCGCCUCUGUCCGCCGCCGUGCCGCCAGGGAGUGGUUCUCCCGUCCCUCCGUCGAUCCGGCCCUUGAGUCCCUUACACGAGGUGUGGGUACCUCGACGAUGCUGAAAAUCAAACACAUAGCCCACAAAAAUACCAGGGGCUCGUCGGCUUGCACGUCACGAUGCGGUGGCUCAGAUGACUAUGAGGAGGAACUGCCAUAUGGAGAUCAGGCGGAAUAUGUCAUUGUUCGUACAAAUGUUCCAAAGCCUGGAACACAGUAGCCCUCUUACAUGCCUCCUCCGCCUCUGAAUCAGCCUCACGGUGAUGCUCGUCGCAUUUCUCUUGAGCCUCCUCCGUCUCUAGGUUGUGAGAUCAAGAAUUUCACUUUAGUCUCCAAACCUGCUUACCUUAAGUUUCGUCGCGAUGUUGACCAAUUCUCUGUUGAGCAUGACUCGAUGGAUUCUCGUUUUCGUACAAAUUUUCAGGCAGAAAUUUUCACCACUGUCAUUGUUCCUAAGGGUCUGUCUGUUCACCACUAUGUUGAAUUAGAGCAUAUCCAUUCUCACCCUGUGAAAUAUCCGGGUGCCAUUGAACUCAUUGAGUCCUCUGGUCUUGCUGCUCCAUUUGCUUUUGAACACAAUUUCAAUCAUGCUGCCAUUCAUCAGUUUUCAAGUGUUUCUUCGAUCCUGACAAGACCGUCACCUGGAUGACUUCUGACACCAAGCUCACUGCCUCCUAUGCUCAGUUUGUCGCCGCUCUUGGUUUUCUUGACACUUGGUUAAAAUCCAUAAGGCUAACCCCAAUCAUGCGCCCAAAGCCAUUGAGGCAUGUGGCUAUCUCCACAACCUCUUAGUGAGCUUGAUGAAGUGGAAAGGGGCAAGGAUCUGGAUCAAAUAUCUAUUUGGCGGUCUCCCUUUUUCAUUAUCUAUGAGUGUGUCAUACACACCAUCGAUGCAAAGAUGGGUCACAAGGGGUCCUGUAAUGGGUAUUGUAUUGAUCUCAUGUCUCACCUUUAUGCGCAUCCCAACGGGAAGAUCAAUGUUCCUCAUUUUCUGUGGCAUGAGAUUCGUCUUGCCAGUCUUCAGUACAAGUGGGAUUUUCCUCAUGCUCCUUUUCUUCAGGCCUUCAUUGAGAGUAUAGCUCAUUUUCCCAUUGCUCGGACUCAUGUGCAUCCGCAGUGGGUCAUUCCACCUAAUAUGGCGGAUGAUUUGGCUCCCAAGAAAUCCACCUCUGCCCCUGCUCGAUGAACAGCUGCUCAGUCUCGUCCUGCUCCCUCUGGCUGAACUCCUUUCGGUCGCAUUGCUCGUUUUCUCGGGAAGGCCCAUUAUGCCAUGAUGAAGGCCUUCUCCUUCCACUGCUCAUGAAACCACGAUGUGGUCACUCGCAUGGUCUCCUCUAAGAAUGCUUUGAAGGAUCGUUUGAGAGACUCCGAAGCCACUGAUGUGAGUGAGGAUGGGUGUUUUCCUGAGCCUCCUCCUUCCGACUUUGGUUUCCCUUCUGUCCCUGAAUGGGCUGAUCUCUUUGACGAGGCAGGAGGCAGUGGCACCCAUGGCGAGGACGGUGACAGUGAUGAUCUCUGAUUGCGUGGAUGCUAUCUCAAUGCCUUCCCCUUUUGGGUACUUGAUGCCAAGGGGGAGGAGAUUAUCAUAUUAUUCGAUUUGUUAACCACUCGGCUAUUUAUGUAUGUUGAGUAUGUUGAUUGUAUGGUGAACCACUACGUUAUGUUGAGCUCGUUGAACCACUAUGCUAUGUUAUAUGUGUUCAAACUGUUACGAUAUGUA